rnacentral:lncRNA from 1 species
CAAAGCCAGCCUGGGGUACAGUGAGUUUAAGGCAGCCUGAACUUCAUAGUGAGACCCUGUCUCAAAAAGACAAAAAAAGUUGGGUGUGGUGGCGCACGCCUGUAAUCCUAGCACUUGGGAGGCUGAGGCAGGAGGAUCGUUGUGAGUUCGAGUCCAGCCUGGGCUACAGUGUGAGCUCAAGGCCAGCCUGAACUGCAUAGCAAGACCCUGUCUCAAAAAGACAAAAAACAAACAAACAAGAAAAUCUUGCCCUGAAGGGGAGGCAGAGAAGCAGCUGUUAGAUUAGCCCGCUGCUAGGGGGGCUUCUGGGCGUUUCUGUCUUUUGGACACAUUCAUCUCCCCCUGUGUUCAGAUGGAGCUGUCUGGUUUUUGUCUUGACCUCUGCCGGUGACCCGUGACCUCGUGUGAUGCCGAUGUGCACGACACAUCUGUGUCCACAGCAGCACACGGGGCUGUGCUGUACCAGGCCACCCCGGGCCACCCAGGCCGGCCGAGAGGCCCUGCGGCUCUGGCAUCUGUCCCCUCCACACAGGGAGCGCGGGGCCUGGAGGGCGUGCGGAAGCGGCCCGGGUCCCACGUGACCGCACAAUCUGACCUCCGGCGCCUGGGUGGGUCUGUACCGGCGGGUGCUGGGAAGUGGCUGUCACCUUCGUCGCCUGGCCGCCUGGCCGUGAGCCGCUGCGGGGCAGAGAGCUGGCUGGGAUCCCGCAGAUGGAGAAAAGGCCCACACGAUGAGGCAGCCGCAGCCAGACUCCACUGCUGCGGGGACAGUGCAGCGACUCCCCGAGGCCCCCUCUGCCCCAAACCGCAGGGCGGGCGCGCGCCCCGCCCCCACCACGCCCGACACCCGGGCUCCUGCGGCCUAGGACUCUGAAGGCAAGGACAGCCCCCAAGCAGCCUGCCGGGCCUCGGAAUGGAUGAACCAGCGCUGCCUGUCUCUUCUGGGCCAGAGGGAGUGAGGGCUGCGCGCUUUGAAGACGGGGCAGAGGAACCCAGGAGGCUGUGGCCCGGGACAAGCGGAGGUCAGGUCUGCUGUGGGUGUUGAGGAGGGGCGGUCGCUAUCCAAUUGCUACAGCCUGUCCCGGGCGGGUUGG